GGUUUCCAACCCAGUCCUCAUGGACCACCAACAGUCCAGGUUUUGUCCUAGAUUUAUUAUAUUAAAAAAGGGAAAUAAUAAAUCUAGGACUGUUGGUGGUCCAUGAGGACUGGGUUGGGGAG
rnacentral:miRNA from 1 species